UGUCCAGGUAGCCUGUAUUGCCAGCCUAUCCUCAAGAAUGACCACACUCCCCAAUAAUUUGGUUUUGUCCGUGAACUUUGCCUGUUUGCUUUUAAUAACCAAAUCCAAAUCAUUGGUGAGCAGUUGAAAAG